AACGAACGCUGGCGGCGUGGAUAAGACAUGCAAGUCGAACGGAAUUUUCCGGUGUAGCAAUACAUCGGAGAGUUCAGUGGCGAACGGGUGAGUAACAGGUGGGAACCUACCUUAAAGUGGGGGAUAGCUCUCCGAAAGGAGAAUUAAUACCGCAUGUGGUCGAAAGACCAAAGUCGGGGACCGCAAGGCCUGACGCUUUUAGAUGAGCCCGCCUCCUAUCAGCUUGUUGGUAAGGUAACGGCUUACCAAGGCUAUGACGGGUAGCUGGUCUGAGAGGACGACCGGCCACACUGGGACUGAGACACGGCCCAGACACCUACGGGUGGCAGCGGUCGAGGAUUUUUCUCAAUGGGGGAAACCCUGAAGGAGCGACGCCGCGUGGAGGAUGAAGGGCUUCGGCUCGUAAACUCCUGUCACUAGGGAACAAACGUUGCAUCCUAACACGAUGCAGCCUGAUGGUACCUGGAGAGGAAGGCACGGCUAACUCUGUGCCAGCCGCCGCCGUAAUAC
rnacentral:rRNA from 1 species